GACGAACGCUGGCGGCGUGCCUAAUACAUGCAAGUAGAACGCAGUUGCGAACGGGUGAGUAACGCGUAGGUAACUGCCUCAUUGGGGGGGAUAACUAUUGGAAACGAUAGCUAAUACCGCAUACUGUGAGAUGGACCUGCGUUGUAUUGGCUAGUUUGUGAGGUAAAGGCUCACCAAGGCGACGAUACUUAGCCCACAGUAGAGGGUGGUCGGACAACCGGGGAGUGAGACAGGGCCCGGACUCCUACGGGAGGAAGCAGGAGGGAAUCUUAGGGAAUGGACCGAAGUCUGACCGAGCAACGCCGCGUGAGUGAAGAAGGGUUUCGGAUCGUAAAGCUCUGUUGUUAGAGAAGCGGUACCUAACCAGAAAGGGACGGCUAACUACGUGCCAGCAGCCGCGGUAAUAC
rnacentral:rRNA from 1 species